ensembl:lncRNA
AUGCCACAAAUAUUGACUCCAGUCACGUUGACCUGCUCCGCUGAUGGAGGGAGCGAAUCGUAUUGUCUAAUCUUGUUGGACGCAGCAGAGGACCUGGUGACUCUGUCCACGGCAGCACAAACCGUACCACGACUCCAGGCGGUUGAUGGCGUUUCCACGGCGGCGGAAGUGACUAGCUCCGGAGCUCGGGAAGAAGCUGGCCGUGUAUCUGGGUCGACCCUGGCCCUGAUGGCAAACGGCAGCGAGGUUUUGAGCCGUGGGACCGGCGGGCGGGAAAGGGACGUCAGGCUCAUUGAGAGCGUUUCUUUGGGUGUCUGUGGAAAUCAAACAUGAAGGUUGACAGCAUUUCAAAUGUUAACACUCUUAGAAUCUUGAAGAAAUUACCUCCAACACCUGCUCCAUGAAGAGUCAGCAGUGCAACAAUCCAAAGUCCCAUGAGGCCUCCGACUGAAGUCAUAGCUGUACGCUGGUGUAGCGGGAACUGAAUGUUUUAGAAAAGGCCACAAUCCUCUUCUCUCCAACAAGUAUUGUGACGGGAUCAGAAACCAGCUUAUAUGAGGGGAGUAAGCGUGUGGGCAUGAGAUGCUUGGAAGUGGGGGUGGAAGGGGUGAGGUGAAAUGUUGGCAUGGGGGGUGGGGGGUUACAUUAUGUCGAGGAAUGUCAAGAUAGACACAAAAUUAAUUUGAACUUCAGUGAUAUCUGCUGGCAUGUGCAAUGUGCAAAACAAUCUGUGCAAGAUUCCAAGGUCUUUAAGUCCUUGGUCACAUGGAGAAAUAAGAAAGCAAAGAUGUUGAUGGAAUAUUUUAUCAUGGCACUGGCAUGUCUACCGAAAACAGUCAGAUUUUUUCCCAAAACUUAACAGAACUUUCGGUAAACCCCCACAAUUCCUGUUUUCAAAAACCUGUCCAAAUGUGCUUCCCGUCAUCAAAGUGGAUGGUUCACACUCUCAAAAUGCUUGAACGUCUCAUGUUUUGUUUUGACUUGCUGCACAUGAGUGGGACGAAGGACGCUCUCACCCACAGUCAGCAAAUCACUCAAAUUGUUUUUCACUCCCUAAAAUCAAAACAAUCAUCGCAGAAUUAUUUCGUCUGUCUGCGUUGUGCUGCUUAAAAGGUGUUGAUAGACUGAAUCUCUCUUUUUAUUGUUGCAACAAAUAUCAGAAGCAUUUUUAUCUUUGGUACAAUAUUAUCAAUUUAUUUCUACAUUGAGAAUAAGUGUCCAUCAGUAUUUGAUUGGUCUGUUUUGUGUUUCAGGUGGUUGUUAUCACAAAUGCAUUCUGCAGCUGCCAAACAGUGAAUCAUUCUCAUCUACUGUGUAAGUGGUGCUCCACUGUAACCCAAAUGUUAUUUUGUUGCUAGUCUUAAUUUGUAUCCAUGAUCUUUGGACAGUAAAGACAGGUUGUGAUUCUUAUUUUCCUCCCAAGUUUUUUUCUAAUUUAGCCUUCAGACUAGAUACAAUUUUUACAUUCACCUAUCAAUGAGAUAUAAUUACAUGGAAAAAAAAUCCAGUCCCACAUAGGAUUCAAUAAAAUCACCUCCAACACAUCCCUACCUGAACUUGGUCUGGUCUGAAGCUAAGCAUGGCAUUGCAUAUUUUAUAAUAAGCAUCAAUGUCAGGUAGGAACCUAAUAAAUAGUUUUGAUAUUUUUCGGAUAAGAAUCCCUGCUAUUUUUUGCAAAAGUUUUCUGCUUUCCCUAAGAAUGAAUACCUGCUUUCCAGAGAGCCAUUGAUAAAUGGAAAAUGGUCUUUGCAUUUUCUCAACGUGGCUGGCCAGGAUGGAAAGUACAAAACUUAUUAUGAUAAUAUUAGGCUAUUCUAUCAUCAACUGUAAAGUGUUCCCUUUCGUAAUCCGAUUGGUGAGUUGUGCCAUCUGACAGCUGCCAGCAGCGCAGCAACUGCACAUCAUUACAUGCAGCGCUACACAGAACUGCCAGGUCAAGAACGGUAUCCUCGGCUGCCCAUCCCAAGCAGCGUUGGAUCAUGGAGACCCGAGGAUCAUUACUGUUUUCAGUGGCAUGACUGGCACUGUGUCUGUCAUGGCAGCCUAUGAGAUCAUCACACACUGUGACCAAUCAGCUGCCGACUGGUUCAGGGUUUUGGCCUAGCCCCAAGAAUGCAGUCUGUCCUGAGUGAAGAGCAUUGUUGCCGUUUACAGCAUGUCACUGAUCUGAGCGUCAUUGUUUUCCUGACAAAGAGGAGACCCGGGCUGGUAUUUUUAAAAGUCUGCUGCGCCCAGGAAAACUUGAUAACCUUGACUGGGCACCUCAGAAGUAGAGGUUUGCAUCCCACCUCUCAUCGGAAUGUCUUCUCUGAGGUUAAUUCCGACAACGACUUUGCAUCACGCCCAUGUGAUUUCUGGAAAUGUGUGAACUAGUCACUUUUAAUUGCACAGAAAAAAUAUACCAAAAAUACAAACACUCACACACACACACACACACACACACCCUGCAGGGGGAGGGGGAGGAGAGGAGAGGAGAGGAGGGGGGGCAGGGGGAGGAGAGAGAGGAGGUGGGGAGGAGCAGGGGGAGGGGAGGAUGAGAGAGGAGGGGGGGCAAGGGGAGGAAAGAGAGGAGGAGGGGAGGGGGCAGGGGAGGAGAGAGAGGAGGUGGGGAGGAGCAGGGGGAGGAUGAGAGAGGAGGGGGGGGGCAAGGGGAGGAAAGAGAGGAGGAGGGGAGGGGCAGGGGGAGGAGAGAGAGGAGGUGGGGAGGAGCAGGGGAGGGGAGGAUGAGAGAGGAAAGGGGGAGGAGAGGAGGAGGGGAGGGGCAGGGGAGGAGAGGAGGGGAGGAGCAGGGGGAGGAUGAGAGAGGAGGGGGGGGGGGCAAGGGGAGGAAAGAGAGGAGGAGGGGAGGGGCAGGGGGAGGAGAGGAUGGGGGAGGAGAGAGAGGAGGAGGGGAGGAGCAGGGGGAGGAGAGAGAGGAGGGGGGGCAAAGGUAAAGGUGUGGAGAUCAUGGAAUGAUAAUCGCA